rnacentral:rRNA from 1 species
UACGGAGGGUGCAAGCGUUGUUCGGAAUCAUUGGGCGUAAAGGGCGCGUAGGCGGUCUGUCAAGUCAGGUGUGAAAUACCCCGGCUUAACUGGGGAAUUGCGCUUGAAACUGGCAGACUUGAGUACGGGAGAGGGUAGCGGAAUUCCGAGUGUAGAGGUGAAAUUCGUAGAUAUUCGGAGGAACACCGGUGGCGAAGGCGGCUACCUGGACCGAUACUGACGCUGAGGCGCGAAAGCGUGGGGAGCAAAC